ACGGCUCAGUAACACGUGGAUAACCUGCCCAAGAGUCCGGGAUAACCCCGGGAAACUGGGGAUAAUACCGGAUAGGUCACCUAUGCUGGAAUGGCUUGGUGGUUUAAACCUCCGGGGCUUUUGGAUGGGUCUGCGGCUGAUUAGGUUGAUGCCGGUGUAACGUACCGGCAUGCCUGUAAUCAGUACGGGUUGUGGGAGCAAGAGCCCGGAGAUGGAUUCUGAGACACGAAUCCAGGCCCUACGGGGCGCAGCAGGCGCGAAAACUUUACAAUGCAGGCAACUGCGAUAAGGGGACAUCGAGUGGCACGCAUAAUGUGUGUCUGUCCACCCGUCUAAAAAACGGGUGUUAGCAAGGGCCGGGCAAGACCGGUGCCAGCCGCCGCGGUAAUACCGGCGGCUCGAGUGGUGGCCACUAUUACUGGGCUUAAAGCGUUCGUAGCUGGGUCGUUAAGUCUCUUGGGAAAUCUACCGGCUUAACCGAUAGGCGUCCAAGGGAUACUGGCGAUCUAGGGACCGGGAGAGGUGAGGGGUACUUCAGGGGUAGGAGUGAAAUCCUGUAAUCCUUGGGGGACCACCUGUGGCGUAGGCGCCUCACCAGAACGGCUCCGACAGUGAGGGACGAAAGCUGGGGGAGCAAACCGGAUUAGAUACCCGGGUAGUCCCAGCCGUAAACGAUGCGCGUUAGGUGUAUCGAUGACCACGAGUCAUCGAGGUGCCGAAGGGAAACCGUGAAACGCGCCGCCUGGGAAGUACGGUCGCAAGGCUGAAACUUAAAGGAAUUGGCGGGGGAGCAC
rnacentral:rRNA from 1 species